GCUUGGAGGGAAAUCACCUUUCAUUGUUUGUGAGGAUGCAGAUGUUGAUAAGGCUGUGGAGCUUGCUCAUUUUGCUCUUUUUUUCAAUCAGGGGCAAUGUUGUUGUGCUGGAUCUCGUACUUUUGUUCAUGAGCGUGUAUACGAUGAAUUUGUCGAAAAAUCAAGGGUACGUGCCCAAAGACGUGUUGUUGGUGACCCUUUCAAGAAGGGUGUUGAACAAGGUCCUCAGAUUGACUCGGAGCAAUUCGAAAAAGUCCUAAGAUACAUCAAAUCUGGCAUUGAAAGUGAUGCUACUUUGGAAUGUGGUGGUGGUAGACUUGGGUCCAAGGGAUACUUCAUCGAGCCAACAGUUUUCUCAAAUGUUAAGGAUGAUAUGUUGAUAGCGAAAGAUGAAAUCUUUGGUCCAGUACAAUCCAUCUUGAAAUUCAAGGACAUUGAUGAAGUAAUUCAAAGGGCAAACUCUACUCGUUACGGUCUAGCUUCGGGAGUUUUCACAUCGAACAUCGACACAGCCAACAUGCUAACACGAGGAUUGAGAACGGGAACCGUGUGGCUCAAUUGCUUUGACAUCUUCGACGCUGCAAUACCUUUUGGUGGGUAUAAAAUGAGUGGAAUAGGAAGGGAGAAGGGAAUUUACAGCCUCCAAAGCUACUUGCAAGUAAAAGCUGUUGUUACACCUCUCAAGAAUCCAGCAUGGUUGUGAGAAUCUCAGCAUUGCAAGUGUAGUACAACAAUAUUUUGUUUUGCAAAAUCAGUUUCUUCUUCUUCUUAAAACUCAAGAAUAAAACAGGAUCUUUCUUCUGUUAUUGUACUUAAGUUAAACUCUAUAAUAAUAUCUACCUCUUAAUAUGAAAA
rnacentral:misc_RNA from 1 species